GUUCACUUUCAGGCGGUGUCUCCAAAAAUGUCGUUGAGGGCUCUCCUUCUACCCUCACAAAAUACCCUUACAAGUUGUCCAGUGGGCGAAACUGGAGCAAAUUCUAGAUGGGCACCACCCAAAUUCUCAACAUCGCGCGGAGGUCUCUGCAAAACCAAGCAUUCAUCCAAAAGUUUGUGCUUGACAACGGGAAAUGGCGCAAUUACAAAGAACCCACAUGGGAUUGGAGAGGAAGAUGGCUUGAUCAUUGUCGACCACGGUUCGCGUCGUAAGGAAUCAAAUCUCAUGCUAAACGAGUUUGUUGCCAUGUUUAGAGAGAAAACUGGG
rnacentral:misc_RNA from 1 species